GAUUGAUACAGUUCUAUUCAAAAUCACACAAUUGCCUUUAUCAAAAAUUAGUAACAGACAUGGAAUAACUUUUCUAUUGUUUUUUACAAUUUGGUUUCAUUAGUAGGUGUGGACAAACUUGGAAAGAAAUUAUCUUCAGACAAGUGCUAAUAGUCUCUAUCAACAUGAUAAAAGAUUGAAGAUAUAUGGAAUGAUAUAUUUGAUAGGAACAAAGCCCUCCAGGCUCCUCUGUCCAUGGGAUUCUCCAGGCAGGAAUACUGGAUUGGGUUGCCAUGCUUUCGACCCAGGGACUGAACCCACAUCUUUUAUGUUUCCUACAUUGUCAGAACCAUUUGCUAAUCAUGGGUAGGAAAAGCAAUUAAUGGAUCUCAAGCCCUUCACCAGCAACCAGCCAAAACUCAGAACAAGGUACAAAUCUCAAAUGAAAAGAAAUCUGAAGUACAGCUAAGUAAGAAG
ensembl:lncRNA